UACGGGGGGGGCAAGCGUUGUUCGGAAUUACUGGGCGUAAAGGGCUCGUAGGUGGCCAACUAAGUCGGACGUGAAAUCCCUCGGCUUAACCGGGGAACUGCGUCCGAUACUGGUUGGCUUGAGUUUGGGAGAGGGAUGCGGAAUUCCAGGUGUAGCGGUGAAAUGCGUAGAUAUCGGAAGGAACGCCGGUGGCGAAAGCGACGUGCUGGACCUCUACUGACGCUGAGGCGCGAAAGCCAGGGGAGCAAACGGG
rnacentral:rRNA from 1 species